rnacentral:rRNA from 1 species
UACGGGGGAAAGCAGGGGACCUUCGGGCCUUGCGCGAUUGGAUAUGCCCAGGUGGGAUUAGCUUGUUGGUGAGGUAAUGGCUCACCAAGGCGACGAUCCCUAGCUGGUCUGAGAGGAUGAUCAGCCACACUGGAACUGAGACACGGUCCAGACUCCUACGGGAGGCAGCAGUGGGGAAUAUUGCACAAUGGGGGAAACCCUGAUGCAGCCAUGCCGCGUGUGUGAAGAAGGCCUUCGGGUUGUAAAGCACUUUCAGCGAGGAGGAAAGGUUGAUGCCUAAUACGCAUCAGCUGUGACGUU